rnacentral:rRNA from 1 species
GACGAACGCUGGCGGCGUGCUUAACACAUGCAAGUCGAACGGAAAGGCCCCUUUGGGGGUACUCGAGUGGCGAACGGGUGCGUAACACGUGAGUAACCUGCCCUUGACUUCGGGAUAACUUCAGGAAACUGGGGCUAAUACCGGAUAGGAAUCCUUGCUGCAUGGUGGGGGUUGGAAAGCUUCGGCGGUUUUGGAUGGACUCGCGGCUUAUCAGCUUGUUGGUGGGGUAGUGGCUUACCAAGGCUUUGACGGGUAGCCGGCCUGAGAGGGCGACCGGCCACAUUGGGACUGAGAUACGGCCCAGACUCCUACGGGAGGCAGAAGUGGGGAAGAUUGCACAAUGGGCGGAAGCCUGAUGCAGAAACGCCGCGGGCGGGAGGACGGCCUUCGGGUUGUAAACCGCUUUCAGCAGGGGCGAAGCUUGUGGUGACGGUACCUGCAGAAGAAGCACCGGCUAACUACGUG